AUGGUGGAAGGUGUUAUACUUCCACCAUGGGUACAGUACGAGGUUCGCACGAUCAAUCUGGAGUCGAUUAAUCUUUCAUCCGUUGAACUUUAUUUGGCUUUUCUUUUCAUCAACUAAAAUUGUGGAACAGGAUAUCUGUAUUAUCUAUAUUAUUGAAUUUUUUAUAAAGUUAUCAGUGUAUGAUCCUGUAUAUGGCAAUUGGCAGAUUCUUCAGUGUUGUACGGCAAUCUAUCUGCUUGAAUAACCAGUACAGCUUUUAUACAACUACUAUGACUUCCUUGCUGGUUCCUCCAGCGUCUGUCCGUGGGAUGACAUGCUUGGAUCGUGAUGCAUUUACAACAAUUGUAACUGUAUCAACAUUAAAGUUAUCUGAUAUUGCUAUCUCAAAAAAUAUACAUGUGCUAAAGAAAUAUUUGUUAAAGAUAUGUAAUUUUAAAUCAGUUCAAAAGACAAAUGAUGGAGCAAUUGUUUAUCUGAAUCCUGAUAUUGUCUCAAAAUUUGAAGAUAUUGCCGAGAAUGAUAGAAAAUUACUUGGUCAAUAUGAAUAUUUUAGUACAAUAAAUGUUACACUAAAGUACGAUAAUUGGCGUCGUGAUGUGGUAUUAAAAUCAAUUCUUCCGAAGGAUAUUGAAGUUCCUGCAGCAUAUAGUUUGAUAGGACAUAUUGUGCAGUUGAAUUUACGUGAUAUACACUUGCCAUACAAAUUUAUUAUUGGUCAAGUAUUUCUUGAUAAGACUGCAAAUGCACGAACAGUAGUAAAUAAAAUAAAUACAAUUGAUACAUCGUUCCGAUUUUUUGAUAUGGAAAUUCUGGCGGGUGAAAAAAACACAGUAACAAUUGCGAAAGAACAUGGUUGUAUAUAUCAGUUUGACUUUGCAAAAGUGUACUGGAAUCCACGUCUGUCUACUGAACAUACACGAAUGAUAACAUUUAUGACGCAAGGUGAUGUUCUGUAUGACGUAUUUGCAGGAGUGGGACCCUUUGCAAUUCCUGCCGCACGUAAAAAGAUCCAAGUAUUUGCUAAUGAUUUAAAUCCCGAAUCUUACAAAUGGCUUCAAAAAAAUGCUGUUAAAAACAAGUUAAAAGAUAAUUUUAAGGCUUUUAACAUGGAUGGUAGAGAUUUUUUGAGAAAAGUUGUAAAAGAUGAUAUUUUGGCCAGACGAGUCAAAAAUCUAUCUGGUUCUGAACAUGUAAUAAUGAAUUUACCCGCGUCAGCUGUCGAAUUUUUGGAUAUAUUACAUGAUUGGUUUACACAAGAAGAAUUUAAAAAAGUUUGUCUCAAAUCACUUAUAUUUCAUGUAUAUUGUUUUGUAAAAGCAGAUAAAGGAGAUGAUUUUUGCAAACUUGGAAGAUUAUUGAUUGAGCAAAAACUUGGUUAUACAUUGCCUACUGAUUCUAUUGUUAGUAUACAUGAUAUUAGGGAUGUUUCACCAAAUAAACAAAUGGUUCGAGUAUCAUUUUUGCUGAAACAAUUAAAGCGAGAAACAAUUGAAAGCGAGGAGUCAGCAACGAAGAAAUUUAAAAUUAGUAAUAUUGAUUUACAACAUGUAUAAAGAAUGAUAUAAUGAAUAUUACAGAAAAAAAUGGGAAAAAACAAGAAGAUUCAUAAAAAUAAAAAUGUUUUCAAAGUCGCAACAGUUCGCAGUAUUAAGCUGAAAGCUAAAGCACAAAAAGUGAUUACUAAUUUGAAGAAAUUUGACCCAAAAGGAAAUAAAAUACCAAGUAAAAGUAAAACAGUCAGCAUGGAUCAAUUAUUAAGAGAAUUAGAAAAUUUUCGAGCAUCUAACUCCAAAAUAAAACUUGAUGCUAAAAAAACUCAUAAGGAAUCAAUCAAAAUAAAUAAAGAGGUUUUGAAGCCUAAGAUGACAUCAGCUCAAACGGAUGUAACAGCUUCAAUGAUAGAACAGAUACAACUUUGAAAACUGAGAACAAGGAAGAUGAAUAGAAUUAAUUAUAUAUUUGAAAAAAAUGUAAUA